UCCGGAGCCAAGGAGGCGAGGACCUGAACAAUCUCCGUACAGGCUGCACACUUAAUUCCGACAUUUUGCGUCAGCUAAAAGUGUGGGGAGGACUUGGAAAAGUCUGAGCAUCGUUAAAUCUGCGGAUGCUGGCGUUGACGGAACGCGGCCAGGCACCCUUCCUGUAGUUGGGAGUGUAUCUCUCUCGUGUUUGUGUCGCCGGUGUCUGGCACUUUACGUGUCACAGCCCCAAUAAUGACACCAGAAGUUACCCAGUUUCAAACCAGAAAUCUGGAGAUCAUCAGUGACACCUCCCCUUUCUCAUUCCUCACUUCCUAGUCAACCUCUGAAAUGUUGGAUCCACAGAGGCACAGUCAAGCACACAGGCCCCAGAAACCGACCACCUGGGUUCACAUCCCAACAGUGUAUAACCUUGAGCGCACAGGGGAAAGACCAUUGGAGGGCACAAUGAGAAGAUGGCUGUCUGCAAGCCAGAAGGAGACUUCUCACCAGACAACUCUGACACCUUAAUCUUGGACUUCUAGCCUCCAGAGUUAUGAGAACAUGUUUCUGGUUUUUAAGCCACCCCUUUUGUAGUAUGUUGUUGUGGCAGUCCAAACUGACCAGUACAAAGUUUCACUGUAUGUUUACCUAAAAGAAAAGUCUCCAAACCCAAGUUGUCCAGAUCAGCCCUGAUCAGAAGAACUUUCUGUGAUGAUGGAAAUAUUCUGUAUAUGCUCUGCCCAACACAGUAGUCACCAGCUACACGUGGCUAAUGAGGACUUGAAAUUCAGCCAGUGCAGGGGCACCUGGGUGGCUCAGUCGGUUGAGCGUCUGACUUCAGCUCAGGUCAUGAUCUCACAGUUUGAGCUCAAGCCCCACAUCGGGCUGUGUGCUGACAACUCAGAGCCUGGAGCCUGCUUCACAUUCUGUGCCUCCCUCUCUCUGCCCCUCCCCCCGGUCACACUUGGUCUCUGUCU